GACGUGAGAGGCAAGCGUUACUCGUCAUUAAUGGGUCUAAGGGGCGCGUAGGCGGAUUCGCAAGUCCGGGGUGAAAUCUUUCGGCUCAACCGGAAAAGUGCCUUGGAUACUGCGAGUCUCGAGGGAGACAGGGGCCGCGGGAACUUCCGGUGGAGCGGUGAAAUGCGUUGAUAUCGGAAGGAACGCCGGUGGCGAAAGCGCGCGGCUGGAUCUCUUCUGACGCCGAGGCGCGAAAGCUAGGGGAGCAAACGGG
rnacentral:rRNA from 1 species